rnacentral:rRNA from 1 species
GACGAACGCUGGCGGCGUGCCUAAUACAUGCAAGUCGAGCGGACGAAUCGAAAGCUUGCUUUUGAUUCGUUAGCGGCGGACGGGUGAGUAACACGUGGGCAACCUGCCCUGUAGACGGGGAUAACACCGAGAAAUCGGUGCUAAUACCGGAUAACACGAAAUGUCGCAUGACGUUUCGUUGAAAGACGGCGCAAGCUGUCGCUACAGGAUGGGCCCGCGGCGCAUUAGCUAGUUGGUGAGGUAACGGCUCACCAAGGCGACGAUGCGUAGCCGACCUGAGAGGGUGAUCGGCCACACUGGGACUGAGACACGGCCCAGACUCCUACGGGAGGCAGCAGUAGGGAAUCUUCCGCAAUGGACGAAGGUCUGACGGAGCAACGCCGCGUGAGCGAAGAAGGCCUUCGGGUCGUAAAGCUCUGUUGUUAGGGAAGAACAAGUAACGCAGUAACUGGCGUUACCGUGACGGUACCUAACGAGAAAGCCACGGCUAACUACGUG